CUCGCUGGAGGAACGCAAGCAGGAGGCGGGGGAGUCGGAGGAGGUGGCGGCGCUGGAGCUCCUCCCGGGGACCAGCGACCCGGGGAGCGAGCACGUCGCUCCGCACCGCUCUUCCUCCAACCGCUGAGCCGUCCCUUCUCGCCAUGUCCCAGAGCAGGCACCGCGCCGAGGCCCCGCCGCUGGAGCGCGAGGACAGUGGGACCUUCAGUUUGGGGAAGAUGAUAACAGCUAAGCCAGGGAAAACACCGAUUCAGGUAUUACACGAAUACGGCAUGAAGACCAAGAACAUCCCAGUUUAUGAAUGUGAAAGAUCUGAUGUGCAAAUACACGUGCCCACUUUCACCUUCAGAGUAACCGUUGGUGACAUAACCUGCACAGGUCUGUAUACACAGUUAACCUGGAUGACCGAGUGGGUUGGCAGUCAAUACUUGGUGUUGCUUUUCAGUUCGGAAAAGUUCUCUUUUUGCCAGACAGCUGUGAGGAACAGGCUCUGAAACUGAGACCUCUCAUCUCAGGUCGUUAGGGCUUUCCAGCUGCAUCU
rnacentral:sRNA from 1 species